rnacentral:RNase_P_RNA from 1 species
GGAGCGGGUCGGACGGUCGCCGGGCAGAUGCCCGGAGGAAGGUCCGGACUCCAGCGGGCAGGAUGCUGGCUAACGGCCAGGCGCCAUAAGGGGCCGCAGUGGGAUGCCGUCCCACUUCGGCCCCAAAAGCGACGGACAGUGGCACAGAAAAGAUACCGCCUGACAGGCCUGGCCUGCCAGGCAAGGGUGAAAAGGUGGGGUAAGAGCCCACCGCGCGGCUGGUGACAGCCGUGGCAGGCCAAACCCCAUCCGGAGCAACAUCAUGUAGGCACGCGACGCAGCUGCGGCUGCACAGGGCGCCCACCCGAGCGUGCGGGUAGAUGGCUAGAGCCGGCAGGCAACUGACGGCCCAGAGGAAUGACCGUCACAUCCCCUUGGGGAUGGACAGAAUCCGGCCUACAGAUCCGCUCCCCUU